CACCCUGCUGGAAAAGCGGCUCGCGUAACUCACAGGGGUGAACCGUCUCGAUCACCCGCACGCCGUCCGAACCCCAGACCUAGGCUCGCGCACAACAUCACAUCGACGGCCCCCGACCGGGCGGCAACCCGGGCGAGGGCCUGACCAGCAAGGAAGGAACACGCUUCCUC
rnacentral:ncRNA from 1 species